CCUAGGGGAGGCAGCAGUGGGGAAUUUUGGACAAUGGGGGCAACCCUGAUCCAGCCAUGCCGCGUGAGUGAAGAAGGCCUUCGGGUUGUAAAGCUCUUUCGGCCGGGAAGAAAUCGCACAGGCUAAUACUCUGUGUGGAUGACGGUACCGGCAUAAGAAGCACCGGCUAACUACGUGCCAGCAGCCGCGGUAAU
rnacentral:rRNA from 1 species